rnacentral:rRNA from 1 species
GAUGAACGCUGGCGGCGUGCCUAAUACAUGCAAGUCGAGCGAACAGACGAGGAGCUUGCUCCUCUGACGUUAGCGGCGGACGGGUGAGUAACACGUGGAUAACCUACCUAUAAGACUGGGAUAACUUCGGGAAACCGGAGCUAAUACCGGAUAAUAUAUUGAACCGCAUGGUUCAAUAGUGAAAGACGGUUUUGCUGUCACUUAUAGAUGGAUCCGCGCCGCAUUAGCUAGUUGGUAAGGUAACGGCUUACCAAGGCAACGAUGCGUAGCCGACCUGAGAGGGGAUUCGGCCACACGGAAACGAGACACCGGCCCAGACUCCACGGGGAGGCACAGGAGGGGAACCUGCCGCAAGGGGCAAAGGCCUGACGAAGCAACGCCGGGGGAGUAAUAAAGGUCUUCGAUUCGUAAACCUCUUUAAUUAGGAAAGAACAAAUUUGAAAGUAACAAUGACCGCCUUAACGGAACCAAACCAGAAGGCCACGCCAAACUACUG